AGCUCAUCUGCAUGCUUGUCUUCCUCAUCGGGGUCUCGACCUGACUGCAGUUCGUCGUUUUAACCAACUUGAGUGGGCAAAUGCUCACAUUCGAUGACGUUUGGCACUUUGGAGAGGUGUUCUCUCGUAAAUGAAUCUCGGUUUUCAUUGUACAGGGCAGAUGGCAGACAGCGUGUAUGGCAUUGUGUGGGUGAGCGGUUUGCUGAUGUCAACAUUGUGGAUCGAGUGGCCCAUGGUGGCGGUGGGUUAUGAUAUAGGCAUGCGUAUGUUAUGGACAAUGAACACAUGCAUUUUAUUGAUGGCAUUUUGAAUGCACAGCGAUACCAUGACGAGAUCUUGAGGCCCCAUUCUUGUGCCAUUCAUCCACAACCAUCACCAUGAUAAUGCACGGCCCCAUGUUGCAAGGAUCUGUACACAAUUUCUGGAAGCUCAAAACAUUCCAGUUCUUGCAUGGCCAGCAUACUCACCUGACAUGUCACCCAUUGCUCUGGAUCGGCGUAUAUGACAGCGUGUUCCAGGUCCUGCCAAUAUCCAGCAACUUCGCACAGCCAUUGAAGAGGAGUGGACCAACAUUCCACAGGCCACAAUCAACAACCGGAUCAAUGCUAUGCGAAGGAGAUGUGUUGCACUGCUUAAGGCAAAUGGUGGUCACACCAGAUACUGACUUGUUUUCAGAACCCCCCCCCUGGAUUCCCCAAAAUAGUAACACUGCACAUUUUAGAGUGGC